rnacentral:rRNA from 1 species
UACGGGGGGGGCAAGCGUUGUUCGGAAUUACUGGGCGUAAAGGGCGUGUAGGCGGCCAACUAAGUCCGACGUGAAAUCCCCAGGCUUAACCUGGGAACUGCGUCGGAUACUGGAUGGCUUGAAUCCGGGAGAGGGAUGCGGAAUUCCAGGUGUAGCGGUGAAAUGCGUAGAUAUCUGGAGGAACACCGGUGGCGAAGGCGGCAUCCUGGACCGGUAUUGACGCUGAUGCGCGAAAGCCAGGGGAGCAAACGGG